UACGGAAGGUGCAAGCGUUGUUCGGAUUGACUGGGCGUAAAGAGCACGUAGGCGGAUUGGUAAGUCGGUUGUGAAAGCCCCGGGCUCAACCACGGAAUUGCGUUUGAAACUGCUUAGCUUGAGUACAGGAGAGGAAAGCGGAAUUCCCAGUGUAGCGGUGAAAUGCAUUGAUAUUGGGAAGAACAUCUGUGGCGAAGGCGGCUUUCUGGUCUGUUACUGACGCUGAGAUACGAAAGCCAGGGGAGCGAACGGG
rnacentral:rRNA from 1 species